rnacentral:rRNA from 1 species
AGUAGGUGCGUGCCAGCAGAAUGCAAGUCGAAGGAUUAAGACUUCCUUCGGGAAGUGCAUAAAGUGGCGCACGGGUGAGUAACACGUAAGUAAUCUACCCUCGAGUGGGGAAUAACGUUCGGAAACGGACGCUAAUACCGCAUAACGCAGCGGCACCGCAAGGUGACAGUUGUUAAAGGAGCAAUCCGCUUGAGGAGGAGCUUGCGGCAGAUUAGCUAGUUGGUAGGGUAAUGGCUUACCAAGGCUACGAUCUGUAUCCGGUCUAAGAGGACGGUCGGACACACUGACACUGAAUAACGGGUCAGACUCCUACGGGAGGCAGCAGUCGGGAAUUUUGGGCAAUGGGCGAAAGCCUGACCCAGCAACGCCGCGUGAAGGAUGAAGUAUUUCGGUAUGUAAACUUCGAAAGAAUAGGAAGAAUAAAUGACGGUACUAUUUAUAAGCUCCGGCUAACUACGUGCCAGCAGCCGCGGUAAUACGUAGGGAGCAAGCGUUGUUCGGAUUUACUGGGCGUAAAGGGCGCGUAGGCGGCGCGGUAAGUCACUUGUGAAAUCUCUGAGCUUAACUCAGAACGGCCAAGUGAUACUGCAGUGCUAGAGUGCAGAAAGGGCAAUCGGAAUUCUUGGUGUAGCGGUGAAAUGCGUAGAUAUCAAGAGGAACACCUGAGGCGAAGGCGGGUUGCUAGGCUGACACUGACGCUGAGGCGCGAAAGCCAGGGGAGCAAACGGGAUUAGAUACCCCGGUAGUCCUGGCCCUAAACGAUGAAUACUUGGUGUCUGGAGUUUCAAUACUCCGGG